GGACAGUUUGUCCUUCACAAAAUCUACUGCCGAGCAAGAAGCACAAAGCCACACAUCGCUGCCAGCUCGAAACACUCCGAACGAAUUGUCGCACAGCAGAACUGGCUUUCUUGUGGAUAUCACGUAGUACACGAAGAUCGUCGAUCACCAGGAAAAUAGAGUUCGUCGCAGAUUGCAACAGCUCAGCUUUCGGAUGAUUCUUUAUCGGUUGUGUAACAUUAGAAAGUAAACAUGGAAGAUUAUAAUAGUCGUGAACUAAUAAUAAAUCUAAUAUAUUUAUUAUCGAGAGAUUGACAAUAAAGAGAGGCCAGCCAGCGACGAACACAAUAGCGUUUUUCUUCUUUCAAAUAAACAUUUACACGUAGAUACACACGUAAUGUUAUCAAUAGCGUAAACUAAUACGAAUAGGUGAAUGUUCCGGUGGAGAUUUCAAUGCUGUCAUGAGAACAGUCGGUCGUUUUACAACAGAAAACGCAAAUAUAUCUGAUACGUCUCGUUUGCAAGAAAUUACGAGACCAAUAAUAUGAAACGCAAACUAAAGCUUGAGUAGGCGACUGUCCCGGCGGAGACUUUAACGCGUAGGACAAGCUGGCCGCGUCGGCCAUCCAAUGUGAUAGAAGAAGAUGUAAAUAAUACAUCAAGGUCCCGUUUGAAAGAAAUCACGAGACCGGUAAUAUGAAGUAAUGAGUUGGGAAUAAAUUAAGAUUUUUACGGCUUUCAACACAUACUUCGACACCUCUCACAACAAUACGUCUCGAAACGAUCGCUUUUUAACACUACAGCGA